GACGAACGCUGGCGGCGUGCCUAAUACAUGCAAGUCGAGCGAAGUUUUUCUGGUGCUUGCACUAGAAAAACUUAGCGGCGAACGGGUGAGUAACACGUAAAGAACCUGCCUCAUAGACUGGGACAACUAUUGGAAACGAUAGCUAAUACCGGAUAACAGUAUUUCUCGCAUGAGAGAUAUUUAAAAGUUGGUUAUGCUAACACUAUGAGAUGGCCUUGCGGUGCAUUAGCUAGUUGGUGGGGUAAAGGCCCACCAAGGCGACGAUGCAUAGCCGACCUGAGAGGGUGAUCGGCCACACUGGGACUGAGACACGGCCCAGACUCCUGCGGGAGGCAGCAGUAGGGAAUCUUCCGCAAUGGGCGAAAGCCUGACGGAGCAACGCCGCGUGAGUGAAGAAGGAUUUCGGUUCGUAAAGCUCUGUUGUUAGGGAAGAAUGGAUAUGUAGUAACUAUACAUGUAAGAGACGGUACCUAACCAGAAAGCCACGGCUAACUACGUG
rnacentral:rRNA from 1 species